CGCAAUUCCUUGUCGGGUAAGUUCCGACGCGCACGAAAGGCGUAACGACUGGGGGACUGUCUCGACCACUCGCUCGGUGAAAAUGCGAUGGCGGUGAAGAUGCCGCCUAGGUGCAGUUAGACGAAAAGACCCCGGAAGCUUUACUGCAACUUGGCAUUGGGUAUAAGUUUUUUCUGCGUAGCGUAGUGGGUAGGGUAUGAAGUCCCGGUUUUGGCUGGGAUGGACCCGCCAAUGAAACACCCAUCUUAAAAAAUUUAUAUUCUAACCUUCGCGGAAAAAACGCGCGGGAACAGUGCCUGGCGGGCAGUUUGUGUGGGGCGCAACCCUCCUAAAGAGUAACGGAGGGGUUUAUCAAGGUCGGCUUGGCGCGGAUGGAAAUCGCGCUGGACCCGCAAGAGGAAAAGCCGGCUUAACUGCGAGACGGACAGGUCAAGCAGAUGCGAAAGCAGAAUCUAGUGAACCGACCGUGGCCAGUAGAUGGCGCGGAAGAUUAACGGAUAAAAGCUACUCCGGGGAUAACAGGCUAGUUCCGCCCAAGAGUUCAUAUCGACGGCGGAGUUCGGCACCUCGAUGUCGGCUCAUCUUAUCCUGGGGCUGGAGAAGGUCCCAAGGGUUGGGCUGUUCGCCCAUUAAAAAGGUACGUGAGCUGGGUUCAAACCGUCAAAAAAAGAACCAGAACAUCGAGAUUCACACGGCGGCCUGUCGCCGCAAGGCGACUUGAAUAAACCGACUCAUAUCGGUGAAGUCCUAACAAUUAUUGAAUAGCAACCUGUCAUAUGUUAGGAUAAUACCGAGGGAAGUCGAGUAUGCAUAAACUUUCGUCAACACAAAAGGCUUAUUUAGCGGGAUUUCUGGACGGCGAUGGAAGCAUUUACGUAAGGCUUAAGCCGAAUCCAACGUAUAAGUUUGGAUUUCAAGUGGCUCCUUAUAUAGUUUUCUUCCAGUCAGCCAAAGGCGAAGCCAAUUUUCAGAAUCUUUGCUCGCUUCUCGACCUUGGAUACUUGAGAAGGCGCAAAGAUGGGAUUUUGGAAUAUACAAUUGGGAGGAAUGAUGCGAUUGCGGAAUUCCUUGCUUUAGUUAAGCCAUAUGUAAUCCUGAAAAAGAAGCAGGUGGAUCUUAUGCUCCAAAUUAUGCGGGCUAAAUCUGCCGUGAAAGAUAAAAAAGAUUUCAAAGUGUUGAUGAAACUGAUAGAUUCUUUUCGAGAAUUGAAUUAUUCGAAGAAAAGAAAAAUACGUACUUUGACCCUGUAGAGACUACACGUCGGUCUCCCGAUUAAUAGCGGGAUGGUGGUAUAGUCCGGCACCCCUGGUAACAGGGGAUUACAGAAUGCGUGAGACAGGUUGGUCUCCUAUCUACUGCAUCCGUUGAUUUUUGAGGGGGGUUCUCCCUAGUACGAGAGGACCGGGAGGAGGUGAGCUCUGGUCUACCAGCUGUCCCGCCAGGGGCAACGCUGGGUAGCUAACUCGCUGAGUGAUAAGCGCUGAAAGCAUCUAAGCGCGAAGCAUGCCCCAAGAUUAGAAAUCGUUUAGGCCCGUGGCAGACUACCACGUUGAUAGGCUUUAGGUGUAAGCGCCGCAAGGCGUUGAGCCGAGAAGUACUAAUCGGCCGAUUCCCGCUCCGAU
rfam:Candidatus Doudnabacteria bacterium RIFCSPHIGHO2_01_52_17 rifcsphigho2_01_sub10_scaffold_8735, whole genome shotgun sequence.